rnacentral:rRNA from 1 species
GGGUUGUGAGGUUAAGCGACUAAGCGUACACGGUGGAUGCCCUGGCAGUCAGAGGCGAUGAAGGACGUGCUAAUCUGCGAUAAGCGUCGGUAAGGUGAUAUGAACCGUUAUAACCGGCGAUUUCCGAAUGGGGAAACCCAGUGUGAUUCGUCACACUAUCAUUAACUGAAUCCAUAGGUUAAUGAGGCGAACCGGGGGAACUGAAACAUCUAAGUACCCCGAGGAAAAGAAAUCAACCGAGAUUCCCCCAGUAGCGGCGAGCGAACGGGGAGCAGCCCAGAGCCUGAAUCAGUGUGUGUGUUAGUGGAAGCGUCUGGAAAGGCGUGCGAUACAGGGUGACAGCCCCGUACACAAAAAUGCACAUACUGUGAGCUCGAUGAGUAGGGCGGGACACGUGGUAUCCUGUCUGAAUAUGGGGGGACCAUCCUCCAAGGCUAAAUACUCCUGACUGACCGAUAGUGAACCAGUACCGUGAGGGAAAGGCGAAAAGAACCCCGGCGAGGGGAGUGAAAAAGAACCUGAAACCGUGUACGUACAAGCAGUGGGAGCACGCUUAGGCGUGUGACUGCGUACCUUUUGUAUAAUGGGUCAGCGACUUAUAUUCUGUAGCAAGGUUAACCGAAUAGGGGAGCCGAAGGGAAACCGAGUCUUAACUGGGCGUUAAGUUGCAGGGUAUAGACCCGAAACCCGGUGAUCUAGCCAUGGGCAGGUUGAAGGUUGGGUAACACUAACUGGAGGACCGAACCGACUAAUGUUGAAAAAUUAGCGGAUGACUUGUGGCUGGGGGUGAAAGGCCAAUCAAACCGGGAGAUAGCUGGUUCUCCCCGAAAGCUAUUUAGGUAGCGCCUCGUGAAUUCAUCUCCGGGGGUAGAGCACUGUUUCGGCAAGGGGGUCAUCCCGACUUACCAACCCGAUGCAAACUGCGAAUACCGGAGAAUGUUAUCACGGGAGACACACGGCGGGUGCUAACGUCCGUCGUGAAGAGGGAAACAACCCAGACCGCCAGCUAAGGUCCCAAAGUCAUGGUUAAGUGGGAAACGAUGUGGGAAGGCCCAGACAGCCAGGAUGUUGGCUUAGAAGCAGCCAUCAUUUAAAGAAAGCGUAAUAGCUCACUGGUCGAGUCGGCCUGCGCGGAAGAUGUAACGGGGCUAAACCAUGCACCGAAGCUGCGGCAGCGACGCUUAUGCGUUGUUGGGUAGGGGAGCGUUCUGUAAGCCUGUGAAGGUGUGCUGUGAGGUAUGCUGGAGGUAUCAGAAGUGCGAAUGCUGACAUAAGUAACGAUAAAGCGGGUGAAAAGCCCGCUCGCCGGAAGACCAAGGGUUCCUGUCCAACGUUAAUCGGGGCAGGGUGAGUCGACCCCUAAGGCGAGGCCGAAAGGCGUAGUCGAUGGGAAACAGGUUAAUAUUCCUGUACUUGGUGUUACUGCGAAGGGGGGACGGAGAAGGCUAUGUUGGCCGGGCGACGGUUGUCCCGGUUUAAGCGUGUAGGCUGGUUUUCCAGGCAAAUCCGGAAAAUCAAGGCCGAGGCGUGAUGACGAGGCACUACGGUGCUGAAGCAACAAAUGCCCUGCUUCCAGGAAAAGCCUCUAAGCAUCAGGUAACAUCAAAUCGUACCCCAAACCAACACAGGUGGUCAGGUAGAGAAUACCAAGGCGCUUGAGAGAACUCGGGUGAAGGAACUAGGCAAAAUGGUGCCGUAACUUCGGGAGAAGGCACGCUGAUACGUAGGUGAAGCGACUUGCUCGUGGAGCUGAAAUCAGUCGAAGAUACCAGCUGGCUGCAACUGUUUAUUAAAAACACAGCACUGUGCAAACACGAAAGUGGACGUAUACUGUGUGACGCCUGCCCGGUGCCGGAAGGUUAAUUGAUGGGGUUAGCGCAAGCGAAGCUCUUGAUCGAAGCCCCGGUAAACGGCGGCCGUAACUAUAACGGUCCUAAGGUAGCGAAAUUCCUUGUCGGGUAAGUUCCGACCUGCACGAAUGGCGUAAUGAUGGCCAGGCUGUCUCCACCCGAGACUCAGUGAAAUUGAACUCGCUGUGAAGAUGCAGUGUACCCGCGGCAAGACGGAAAGACCCCGUGAACCUUUACUAUAGCUUGACACUGAACAUUGAGCCUUGAUGUGUAGGAUAGGUGGGAGGCUUUGAAGUGUGGACGCCAGUCUGCAUGGAGCCGACCUUGAAAUACCACCCUUUAAUGUUUGAUGUUCUAACGUGGACCCGUAAUCCGGGUUGCGGACAGUGUCUGGUGGGUAGUUUGACUGGGGCGGUCUCCUCCUAAAGAGUAACGGAGGAGCACGAAGGUUGGCUAAUCCUGGUCGGACAUCAGGAGGUUAGUGCAAUGGCAUAAGCCAGCUUGACUGCGAGCGUGACGGCGCGAGCAGGUGCGAAAGCAGGUCAUAGUGAUCCGGUGGUUCUGAAUGGAAGGGCCAUCGCUCAACGGAUAAAAGGUACUCCGGGGAUAACAGGCUGAUACCGCCCAAGAGUUCAUAUCGACGGCGGUGUUUGGCACCUCGAUGUCGGCUCAUCACAUCCUGGGGCUGAAGUAGGUCCCAAGGGUAUGGCUGUUCGCCAUUUAAAGUGGUACGCGAGCUGGGUUUAGAACGUCGUGAGACAGUUCGGUCCCUAUCUGCCGUGGGCGCUGGAGAACUGAGGGGGGCUGCUCCUAGUACGAGAGGACCGGAGUGGACGCAUCACUGGUGUUCGGGUUGUCAUGCCAAUGGCACUGCCCGGUAGCUAAAUGCGGAAGAGAUAAGUGCUGAAAGCAUCUAAGCACGAAACUUGCCCCGAGAUGAGUUCUCCCUGACCCUUUAAGGGUCCUGAAGGAACGUUGAAGACGACGACGUUGAUAGGCCGGGUGUGUAAGCGCAGCGAUGCGUUGAGCUAACCGGUACUAAUGAACCGUGAGGCUUAACCUUACAACGCCGAAGGUGUUU